UACAGAGGUCCCAAGCGUUGUUCGGAUUCAUUGGGCGUAAAGGGUGCGUAGGCGGCGCGGUAAGUCGAGUGUGAAAUCUCGGAGCUUAACUUCGAAACUGCAUUCGAUACUGCCGUGCUUGAGGACUGGAGAGGAGACUGGAAUUUACGGUGUAGCGGUGAAAUGCGUGGAUAUCGUAAGGAAGACCAGUGGCGAAGGCGGGUCUCUGGACAGUUCCUGACGCUGAGGCACGAAGGCCAGGGGAGCAAACGGG
rnacentral:rRNA from 1 species